CCGGGGACGAGGAGCUGGCAUCAGGCACACCAGAUGGCCCAAGACGCCUUGCUCAGCCACACCCCCAAGGGAAUUCAGCAGUAAUAAACAUUAAGCCAUAAGUGAAAACUUGACUUAGUUAGGGUUAAGAGGGCCGGUAAAAUUCGUGCCAGCCACCGCGGUUAUACGAAAGACCCUAGUUUAUAGGCACGGCGUAAAGGGUGGUUAUGGGACAGACAAAAUAAAGCUAAAGACCCCCAGAGCCGUCAUACGCCCACGGGGGCGCGAAACCCAAAUACGAAAGUAGCUUUACCAAACAAAUGCCCGACCCCACGAAAGCUGAGAAACAAACUGGGAUUAGAUACCCCACUAUGCCCAGCCUUAAACCUAGAUGAAAACUUACAAAACCAUCCGCCCGGGGACUACAAGCACAGCUUAAAACCCAAAGGACUUGGCGGUGCCUCAGACCCACCUAGAGGAGCCUGUUCUAGAACCGAUAACCCCCGUUAAACCUCACCACCUCUUGUUUUCCCCGCCUAUAUACCGCCGUCGUCAGCUUA
rnacentral:rRNA from 1 species